rnacentral:siRNA from 1 species
AUAGUUCGCUUUGUGCUCACCACA